rnacentral:tRNA from 1 species
GUAAACAUAGUUUAGAUAAAACACUAGAUUGUGAAUCUAGAGACAGAGACUAACAAACUCUUAUUUACC